rnacentral:lncRNA from 1 species
GCAUAUUCAAUAUACUUAGGUGCAAUUAAUUUUCUAGAUUUCAUGUAAACAUGUUCUAACUUUACUACAUCGUCCCUUUGAAUGUCAAACACUCGACUACCGACAUUAAAUGUUUUUAUAAAGUAAUGGUAUAUUAGGAAUACUAGCAUUAAAUGAGUCAAAAGUAGUUAACUUUUGUUUAUAAUAGUGACCAAUAUUUGAGGUAACUUUUUUACUUAUAAUAGUUGUUGAAUGAGAGAAAAUGAGAGAGACAUAUGGUGAAACCGUGUGUCUGAACUACACAACUGAGUCAGUUUUAUAUAGGCUCAAGGCAAUAAAUACAAAAAAUAAAUAUGGGAGAUAUUAUCCCUAUUUAGAUGAUACAAUGUGAUAUGUAAUAAAUACAAAUAUCGUAAAUAUAUUUUCAGCACUCCCCCUCAAACUGGAGGAUAAAAAUCAUAUGAAUCAAUCUUGUUGCAUAUAUGAUUGAUUUGAGGACCUUUCAGGGACUUAGCGAAUACAUCUGCCAAUUGAUCAUUGGAAUUAAUAAAGUUAGUGAUGAUGUCGUCUGCUUCAAUCUUCUCCCUUAUAAAGUGACAAUUUAUCUCAAUAUGCUUGGUCCUCUCAUGAAAAACCGGAUUAGAGACAAUGUGCAACGCUGCUUGAUUAUCGCAGAUUAAUGUCAUUUGUGUUGCCUCUUCAAAUUGAAGCUCUUUGAGUAACUGUUUCAACCAAAUGAGCUCACAAGUCACUAAUGUCAUAGCCCUAGAUCUUGCAACUACACUUUGUUUCUUACUCUUCUAGGAUAUUAAGUUUCCUCCAACAAGUACACAAUACCCAUAAAUGGAUCGCCUAUCAAUGGGUGAGCCUGCUCAAUCAACAUUUGAAUAACCAACUAUUUGAGUAUGUCCUCUGUUUUUAUAAAUUAGACCUUUUCCUGGAGCACCUUUAAUGUAUUUCAAGUCGUAUCACAACAUCCCAGUGUUCUUGGCAAAGAGAGUUUAAGAAUUGGCUUACCACACUGAUUGCAAAAGAAAUGUAUGGGCGGGUGAUUGUGAGGUAGCUUGAUUUACCAACCAAUCUUCUGCACCUCUCUGAAUCUGAACAUGGCUCCCCACGAUUAGGUAGAAAUUUGACAUUUGGAUCUAUAGGAAUAUGAGCUCACAAGUCACUAAUGUCAUAGCCCUAGAUCUUGCAACUACACUUUGUUUCUUACUCUUCUAGGAUAUUAAGUUUCCUCCAACAAGUACACAAUACCCAUAAAUGGAUCGCCUAUCAAUGGGUGAGCCUGCUCAAUCAACAUUUGAAUAACCAACUAUUUGAGUAUGUCCUCUGUUUUUAUAAAUUAGACCUUUUCCUGGAGCACCUUUAAUGUAUUUCAAGUCGUAUCACAACAUCCCAGUGUUCUUGGCAAAGAGAGUUUAAGAAUUGGCUUACCACACUGAUUGCAAAAGAAAUGUAUGGGCGGGUGAUUGUGAGGUAGCUUGAUUUACCAACCAAUCUUCUGCACCUCUCUGAAUCUGAACAUGGCUCCCCACGAUUAGGUAGAAAUUUGACAUUUGGAUCUAUAGGAAUAUCAACCGGCUUGGCAUUCAAUAAACUUGUCUCUUCGAAAAUAUCGUUGACAUAUUUCCUUUGUGAAAUUACUAAAUCGCCCUUAGAUUGGACUACCUCAAUACCCAAGAAGUAGCGGAGCUUGCCAAGAUCUUUAGUUUGAAACUGAUAAGAUAAAUGUUGUUUCAACUGGAGUAUGUUCUGCUGAUCACUACCAGUUAUGACAAUAUCGUCUUCAUAGACAAUCAAGUA